AUGACAGCAGGAGUGAAGGGUUGUGGACCUGGCUGCUCCAGACCAUGUGAUCUUAUGGAUUUCUACAAAAUGAAUGUGGAGUAAUCUAUUGACCUCCAGAUGGAUCCCUACUUGGUGUACACAGAGGAGCAAAGGCUUGCAAAGGGGCAACAACAUGGUGGGUGCAAGUGAAACAGAAAAAAAUGAGCCCAUCUUGGAGAAACUUUCUUGCCCUCUGUCUGGUGAUUUCUGUAGGCUUUUGCCUGGAUUCAUCCUGAUGGUAAUAAUUUCAGGGACCGGACUGUGUGAAUAAACAAAUAGAGGGCAUGGGAAAACACCCACACACACAUACUUUUGCCCAAUUUUCCCUUUGGCGAGUUUAUAGUAGCUACAAACAACAGAGGGAAAAAGACCUCAGCUUAAAACUGCCAAACACAGUGCCGUCAGGCUCAGCUGAACUUUGCAGAGUUGAAGAAUCUAAAACACCAAAAGUGUCUCUGUGAACUGACAAUGGACCAUGCCUGUUAAAGGGACAGCACUUCCUUUAGUCUAUGGAAUUUUGUUUUCAAAGUUGCAAUGUUCAUCGCCAAUGUUUUCCAUAAAUAAAUAACUAGUGGUCACUCUAGAGCCUAUAAUC
rnacentral:lncRNA from 1 species